AUUGAACGCUGGCGGCAUGCUUUACACAUGCAAGUCGAACGGUAACAGGGUGCUUGCACCGCUGACGAGUGGCGAACGGGUGAGUAAUGCGUCGGAACGUGCCGAGUAGUGGGGGAUAACGCAUCGAAAGGUGUGCUAAUACCGCAUACGUACUGAGGUAGAAAGUGGGGGUCCUUCGGGCCUCACUCUACUCGUGCGUCCGAUGUCUGAUUAGCUAGUUGGUGGGGUAAAGGCUCACCAAGGCGACGAUCAGUAGCGGGUCUGAGAGGAUGAUCCGCCACACUGGGACUGAGACACGGCCCAGACUCCUACGGGAGGCAGCAGUGGGGAAUUUUGGACAAUGGGCGCAAGCCUGAUCCAGCCAUGCCGCGUGUCUGAAGAAGGCCUUCGGGUUGUAAAGGACUUUUGUCCGGGAGCAAAUACCCAGUGCUAAUAACGCUGGGGGCUGAGAGUACCGGAAGAAUAAGCACCGGCUAACUACGUGCCAGCCGCCGCGGUAACAC
rnacentral:rRNA from 1 species